rnacentral:rRNA from 1 species
ACGUCCCUGCCCUUUGUACACACCGCCCGUCGCUACUACCGAUUGAAUGGCUUAGUGAGACCUUCGGAUUGGAAGUAGGUUUCUGGAAACAGUAGCCAGCUUCCGAAAAGUUGGUCAAACUUGGUCAUUUAGAGGAAGUAAAAGUCGUAACAAGGUUUCCGUAGGUGAACCUGCGGAAGGAUCAUUAAUAAAUGCUUCAUUGCAUCCACCUUUUGUGCACUGUAAAUAUUUCACUUGAAUUUUGUCUGAUUAAUCUUUGUUCUGAAAGGAACAUGAAUUAUAAUCUAAUACAACUUUUAACAAUGGAUCUCUUGGCUCUCGCAUCGAUGAAGAACGCAGCGAAAUGCGAUAAGUAAUGUGAAUUGCAGAAUUCAGUGAAUCAUCGAAUCUUUGAACGCAUAUUGCGCUCUUUGGUAUUCCAGAGAGCAUGCCUGUUUGAGUAUUGGUACUAUGGGUGAACUUCCUUUGAAUUUUCAAAGUAAAAUCAUUUAAAACCCUAUUGAGACGUCUUGGCAAUCUUUUUUGACAAGUGUCUUAAAAUUCAAUUGAAUUUUCCAUGUUCCAGUGGAAGACGACUAGUUUAUGGAGUAAUAUGGUAAGGGUUGCCCCUGACCUGAAAAAGUGCUGUAAAAAGUUCUUUUUCUUACUUUUUUACUAGUUGCCUUUAUGCUGGAACAUGAUCUUUGAAUGCCCUUGAAGAAGACAUUCAAAAGUUUUAAGCUCAAUCUCAAAUCAGGUAGGAUUACCCGCUGAACUUAAGCAUAUUAAUAAGCGGAGGAAAAGAAAAUAACAAUGAUUCCCCUAGUAACUGCGGGUGAAGAGGGACAAGCUCAAAUUUUAAAUCUGUUAGGUAUCACCUGGCCGAGUUGUAAUUUGAAGAAGCGUUUUCUGCGUCCUUGGUCAGCCCAAGUCCUAUUGAAUGAGGCAUCAUGGAGGGUGAUAAUCCCGUCCGGUUGAUCAAUGCGUUUUACGAUACGCUCUCAAAGAGUCAAGUUGUUUGGGAUUGCAGCUUAAAAUGGGAGGUAAAUUUCUCCUAAGGCUAAAUAUUGGCGAGAGACCGAUAGCGAACAAGUACCGUGAGGGAAAGAUGAAAAGAACUUUGAAAAGAGAGUAAAAUAGUGCGUGAAAUUGUUGAAAGGGAAACGAUUGAAGUCAGUCGUACCGACGGACAAUCAGCCUUUUGAGUGCGAUUCUGUGGUGCAUGAGGAGGAAACCCUCAUGUUUUGCAUAUUUGUGCUCUUUGGGUGUAUUUGUUCGUAUGGUGGGUUAACAUCAAUUUUGGUCGUCAUAAAAUGACGGGAGGAAAGUAGCUUUGGUCUCGUAUUGAAGUGUUAUAGCCUCUGGUAGAUGUGACGACCGGGAUUGAGGAUUGCAACGGAUACCCUUUUGGGCUACUCGCCUGAUCUCUGAUCGUUACUCUGGUGCCGAAAGCUUGCUUAUGUCAUCAAAGUUGAUGGUCAAAAGGUUAGAACGGGUUAAAUUCGUUAAGGAUGUUGACGUAAUGGCUUUAAACGACCCGUCUUGAAACACGG